rnacentral:rRNA from 1 species
UGGGGAAUUUUGGACAAUGGGCGAAAGCCUGAUCCAGCAAUGCCGCGUGUGUGAAGAAGGCCUUCGGGUUGUAAAGCACUUUUGUCCGGAAAGAAAUCCUUGGCUCUAAUACAGUCGGGGGAUGACGGUACCGGAAGAAUAAGCACCGGCUAACUACGUGCCAGCAGCCGCGGUAAUACGUAGGGUGCAAGCGUUAAUCGGAAUUACUGGGCGUAAAGCGUGCGCAGGCGGUUUGCUAAGACCGAUGUGAAAUCCCCGGGCUCAACCUGGGAACUGCAUUGGUGACUGGCAGGCUAGAGUAUGGCAGAGGGGGGUAGAAUUCCACGUGUAGCAGUGAAAAUGCGUAGAGAUGUGGAGGAAUACCGAUGGCGAAGGCAGCCCCCUGGGCCAAUACUGACGCUCAUGCACGAAAAGCGUGGGGAGCAAACAGGAUUAGAUACCCUGGUAGUCCACGCCCUAAAACGAUGUCAACUAGUUGUUGGGGAUUCAUUUCCUUAGUAACGUAGCUAACGCGUGAAGUUGACCGCCUGGGGAGUACGGUCGCAAGAUUAAAACUCAAAGGAAUUGACGGGGUCAUAGCUGUUU